UGGGUUGUGGCUCAGUGGUAGAGCACUCGCCUAGUAUGUGUGAGGCAUGGGUUCAAUUCUCAGCACUGUAU
rfam:Ictidomys tridecemlineatus contig095416, whole genome shotgun sequence.